rnacentral:rRNA from 1 species
UACGUAGGGUGCAAGCGUUGUCCGGAAUUAUUGGGCGUAAAGAGCUCGUAGGCGGUCUGUCACGUCGGAUGUGAAAAUCCAGGGCUCAACCCUGGACCUGCAUUCGAUACGGGCAGACUAGAAUUCGGUAGGGGAGACUGGAAUUCCUGGUGUAGCGGUGGAAUGCGCAGAUAUCAGGAGGAACACCAAUAGCGAAGGCAGCUCGCUGGGACGUUACUGACACUGAGGCGCGAAAGCGUGGGGAGCGAACAGG